GUUGGAGAAACGGGACGGUUGGUAGGAGUAUAGACCAUGUGGCUUGGCCUAUACUCCAACCAACCAUCCCAAGCAUAGACUAAAGCAUUUUGAAAAUUGAUCCAAAGCCAUAUCAAACAGAACAAUCAGCACAACAAGCCAUUUCACACCAUGUUGAUAACAAUUUAUAUUUUAGUAUAAUGACUUUAUCAUAGAGCUAUAUAUACUCUAGCAAUGAAAUCUGAUCUUUAAGAAUUAAUUUGACCUUUGUGGUUCUGGGACACUGUCUGCAAAAACAAUUUAAACUUCCUCGUCUUUAGAAGAUUUAAAACUAGUUGAUACAGAGUAGUUAAGGAUCCGCUAUGGGAAUCUAAUAGGCAUUUUGGGGUUUUCUUAAGGGUAUGAAGGCUGCAGCCAAAUAAUGUUGACUUGAAAUGAUCUUCAUUUUGACUCACACUGCUUUUAAAAAUGGAUGAAUUAAUGAUAUCCCAACUCGCCCUUGUUGGUCACUGAUGAUUACCUUGGAUUGCAGGAUGCUUUGGUGAGACUUAAUGAUGUCAUUAUACAAGAGAAAUCAGAUAGGAAAUCCAAAAUAAUAUAUCUCAGUUAUUAAAGAUUUUAAUGAUGUCAUUAAAGAAGUGCCAAGGUGAGACUUAAUGAUGUCAUUAUACAAGAGAAAUCAGUUUCUGGUCCAUUCCUUUAGUUCAAGUUCUUACCUGGGUUCAAUUUUCAUUUAGAUGGGAAAAGAUAUUGAAGUUUCAUGUAGCAGUGAGAGAACAUACAGGCACUUGUGCAGCAGUGGGAGGAAACAACUCUGGGGGGCCAUCAUAUUUGCCAAAACCUGUCAACUCCAUUCAAUGCAUCCAAAUCAGAGUGAAGAAACUCUUCCAGUAAUCACUGAAGCAGUCAACAGAAAACUGGAUAAGAUGAUCAUAGAAGGAGAUUUUCUAGUGCUAACCACAGCAUUUCAAAAACGCCCACAUAAACUUCGUUUCUCAUAGACCAUAUAUGUUGAUACCAAUCACUGACAUUUGCUAAUUGCUGGAAUUUCCAUCGACAAAAACUCAUGAUAUCUCAGUUGGUGUUGUUUUAGCUAUAAAUUAUUCUUAGGGGUUCUAGCUGAUUAUUCA